CUGCACGUAGACCGCCUGCGCAAAAAAAAAAAAAAAAAAAAAAAAAAAAAAAAAAAAAAAAAAAAAAAAG
rnacentral:ribozyme from 13 species